rnacentral:misc_RNA from 1 species
UUUCCGUAGGUGAACCUGCGGAAGGAUCAUUAAUGAGUUGUCAUGGGGUUCGAUGCUGGCAGCCAAUUUUUGGAUGCAUGUGCUUGCCCUAACAAUCAUCUUCCAAACACCUGUGCACAUUUUUGAGGGAGUCUUGAGUUGGUUGCCGCUCUUGGGUGAUUUUCUCACAUUCCCUUAAAUCAUUACACGCUAUUAACAAUGUUGAACGUGCUCUGUGCCGCAAGGCUAUUAAUAUAAUACAACUUUUAACAACGGAUCUCUUGGCUCUC